CCAAUAGCGUAUAUUAAAGUUGUUGCAGUUAAAAAGCUCGUAGUUGAAUUUUGGAUCUGACCAAACGGUCCGCCUUUGGUGAGCACUGUUUUGUGUCGGGUCUAUCCUUCUGGUGAGCUGGUAUGCCCUUUACUGGGUGUGUCAGGGAACCAGGACCAUUACCUUGAAAAAAUUAGAGUGUUUAAAGCGGGCAUAAGCUUGAAUAGAUUAGCAUGGAAUAAUAGAAUAGGACGUUGUGGUUCUAUUUUGUUGGUUCUAGGACCACCGUAAUGAUUAAUAGGGAUAGUUGGGGGCAUUAGUAUUCAAUUGUCAGAGGUGAAAUUCUUGGAUUUAUUGAAGACUAACUACUGCGAAAGCAUUUGCCAAGGAUGUUUUCAUUAAUCAAGAACGAAAGUUAGGGGAUCGAAGACGAUCAGAUACCGUCGUAGUCUUAACCAUAAACUAUGCCGACUAGGAAUCGGGCGAAGUUAUUUUAAUGACUCGCUCGGCGCCUUAUG
rnacentral:rRNA from 1 species